UAUCUAUGAUGAUCCUAUCCCGAACCUGAAUUUCUGUUGAAAAAAUCUUAUACGGAUCUGGCUUCUGAGAU
ensembl:snoRNA